AGGCGAAACGCCGGCGUCGUCCGCGGCGCCGGUGUCGGGCGGGUCUGGUACCCCGCCCCUGACGAGCCAACC
rnacentral:hammerhead_ribozyme from 1 species